rnacentral:rRNA from 1 species
AGCAGCCGCGGUAAUUCCAGCUCCAAUAGCGUAUAUUAAAGUUGUUGCAGUUAAAAAGCUCGUAGUUGAAUUUCGAGACCGGUUUAUUGGUCGUGCUUUUGUACGUACUGGUAUUAUUGGUUUCUCCUUUCUGACGAAUCUUAAUGCCAUUAAUUUGGUGUUUUGGGGAAUCAGGACUGUUACUUUGAAAAAAUUAGAGUGUUUAAAGCAGGCUCACGCUUGAAUACAUUAGCAUGGAAUAACGGAAUAGGACGUUUGAUUCUAUUUUGUUGGUUUCUAGGAUCGACGUAAUGAUUAAUAGGGAUAGUUGGGGGCAUUAGUAUUCAAUUGUCAGAGGUGAAAUUCUUGGAUUUAUUGAAGACUAACUACUGCGAAAGCAUUUGCCAAGGAUGUUUUCAUUAAUCAAGAACGAAAGUUAGGGGAUCGAAGACGAUCAGAUACCGUCGUAGUCUUAACCAUAAACUAUGCCGACUAGGGAUCGGAUGAUGUUAAUU